rfam:Aedes albopictus isolate Foshan contig16289, whole genome shotgun sequence.
UGUUCUGUGGCUUAGUUGGUUAAAGCGCCGGUCUACCGAAUACGGAGUCGUGGGUUCGAAUCCCACCAGAACGC